GCUCGAGUGGCGAACGGGUGAGUAACACGUGAGUAACCUGCCCUUGACUUUGGGAUAACUUCAGGAAACUGGGGCUAAUACCGGAUAGGAGCUCCUGCUGCAUGGUGGGGGUUGGAAAGUUUCGGCGGUUGGGGAUGGACUCGCGGCUUAUCAGCUUGUUGGUGGGGUAGUGGCUUACCAAGGCUUUGACGGGUAGCCGGCCUGAGAGGGUGACCGGCCACAUUGGGACUGAGAUACGGUCCAG
rnacentral:rRNA from 1 species